rnacentral:rRNA from 1 species
AGGGGGCUAGCGUUGUUCGGAAUUACUGGGCGUAAAGCGCACGUAGGCGGCUUUGUAAGUUAGAGGUGAAAGCCUGGGGCUCAACCCCAGAAUUGCCUUUAAGACUGCAUCGCUUGAAUCCAGGAGAGGUGAGUGGAAUUCCGAGUGUAGAGGUGAAAUUCGUAGAUAUUCGGAAGAACACCAGUGGCGAAGGCGGCUCACUGGCCCGAUACUGACGCUGAGGCACGAAAGCGUGGGGAGCA